UUUCCGUAGGUGAACCUGCGGAAGGAUCAUUACCGGGCUCAGGGGGGGAAACCCCCCGAACUCCCAACCCUUGCUUACCUACCACGUUGCUUCGGCGGGUUCACGCCCGCCGGAGGUCAAUCAAACUCUUAUUCACAGACGUCAGAGCGAAUGCGAAAAUAAGUAAAAACUUUCAACAACGGAUCUCUUGGUUCUG
rnacentral:misc_RNA from 1 species